CUACAUUUCCUCCCUUUCCCAUUCACUUAUCCACAGUUCAUAGAAUCCAGAUAUUGUCCUAAUACCCACUUGCAGAUCAAUUUAAUUCAUGUAUAUGUAUGUAUACACAUUUUGAUGGUUUCAAAGAUUAUCCCAACAAUUAUCAUCCUAAGAACACAUAGAUUUAAUCUCAGGUGUAGGACCCUUUCACAAGAUGCAUUCACAUGAAGCACUCUGCAGAUGCUCCAGAGAGUGCAGCAGCAGAAACUGCCUCAUGCAGCUGUGGUCACACAGUCCCAUCUAGGAUGGAGGCGAGACCUGCAGCUGAUAUAAGGAGAGACAGACAGGUGGAAAGAGAAGGAGCAAGAGGUCAGAGGCAACUGAGAAUAUUGCUUGGACCUGUGGUACGCUGGAACAGGUAUAUUCAUUUUCUUUUUCAGUCAUGCAAAUUAUUCUUGAGCUUGACUUGAUUUCCCAUUCAAAUUAGCAGCUCAGGAAAUGGCAGAAAUUGCAGAUUGUGUGUGUCUGUCAUCCAGGGUCUGUGUCUGGCCU
rnacentral:lncRNA from 1 species